UCCUUGCACUAGGUGGGGCCAGCCUCCUGUUGUGUAGACUCAUCAACUAUACCAGUCCUCUGUUCCUGGUCUCUGGAGCUUCAAUUUGGGAAAGUGACCCAUUAGCUUCUGAGGACCAGGGUGAGAGAGGGCAAACUUGAAUGCCCUUCACAAUGGAGAGAUGUGUGCAGACCGGACAGACAUCAGUUCCUUUAUCAGUGCACAGGUAGCUGCAAUAUGCUUCCUGGAAUCCUCUCUCAAAUAAACUGCUUGCCUCCAAAUCCUUGUCUCAGGCCUGCAUGUGGAGAGAUAAAACCCAGACAAAGAGGCAGACAUGAGCAGAUGAGCUCCCCCGAACAGGAGACAAGUGGGCUGAGAGGUGAAGGAAGAGGAUGAGCUCCAGCAGCCUAAGGGCUAUCCUCUGAAGCAGAGUCACAGAGCCGAGUGUAGCAAGAAAAGGCUCGGUGAUGCCUGGGGAGGCGACGCCGGCAGUCAGAAGAAUCCAAAGGAGCCUUGACAGCGUCACUGCAGACAAACCUGUCUCCACUGACUGCCCUACUCAGACUCUGCCUGUCUGUGGUGGCCCACUCUCCUCGGGGUGGAUCGGCCUAAGAGUUUCAUUAAAAUCAAGGGGACGGGGAUUGUGGGUAGUGUUGGGACCCAGUAAAGCCCUGGGCUUAAUGGAUCAGAACCAAAACCCCAGCUCCACAUGGGCAGCCCUCAGUUUUCAUGGGUCAGCCCUUUCUGAGAAACCCAGCCAGGGAGGAGCACAGGACCAGCAGCAGGGGAUGCUUCUAAACCCAUAUCUCACUGGAUAAGCUCAUCACCUUCCAAGCCUCUGAAGAACAUUUACGUUCCUAUAAGUUUCUGAAGCCACGUUCAAAUCGUAGCUCUACCACCAAUGAGCUGCACGUUGGAGGGGAAGUGAAUUCACCCCAGACCUGAGUUCCACAUCCCUAGACUGGGUGAGAGGGCCUCUGCCCAGGCUCUCCAUGAGGAUGACCUGCACCGUGUGCCUUUAAUGCACUUAGAACAGCAGGUGCCUCAGUAAACGCUCACUGCCAUUCUGCGAUCAUUAUUGCAUUCACUUCCUGGGGCUGCUGCAACAAAGUACCACACCCUGGGGGCGAAAACAACAGACCCUGACCGUGCCGAUGCUGGAAGUCUGAGAUCAAGGUGUGGGCAGGGCUGGUUCCUUCCGAGGACUGUGAGGAAGACUGUUCCACGCCUCUCUGCAGCUCCGGGUGGUUUGCAGGCAACCUUUCCAUUGCUGGCUUUGCAGACACAUCACCCAGUCUCUGCCCUCAUGUUCACAUGGCUCUCUCCCUGUGUGUGUGUGUCUGCGUCCCAGCCUCCCCUGUUUAUAAGGACAUAGUGGCAUUACAUGACUACUAUUACUCUGAUAGGGCCUCAUCUUAACUAACUACAUCUGCAAAUAACCCAUUGCCACAUAAGGUAGCAUUCUGAAGUACUAGGGGCUAGGACAUCAACAUAGGAAUUUGGGGAGCACAUAAUUCAACCCAUGAUAAUGAUUAUCGUGAUUAUUAUUAAGAAUAUAUAACCACUGUAGGAUGAAAGCAAAUACUGUAAAAUCCUACUCAUAGGUUUGCAGGGAUUAAAUGGCAUCACUGGAAAAUUGUCUGACACAAAGAAGGGGUUCAACAAAUGUUGUUUUACUUCCUCACUGUCAGCCUAAAUAUAGAAAGUAUUUGCUCAUUGGCCCGACAGACAAGUUUUGACUUCUAGUUUUAUACCAGCUUUAUGUAUACAUGCUUAUAUGUCGUAUGUGACAUUUUGUACAUAUAAACAUUAGUUCUGCCUUCUAAUGCUAUUUUGAAAUCACCUUUCCCUUGUUAAAGUGUUCUUUUGAAAUUAUAUAAAAUAGCUGAAUAGUAUUUUAAAGCCAAAAUGCUACAAUUUACUUGCCAUGUUUUAUAAUUUGCUUACAUUCAGAUGGUGUACCAUCUUGUGUUCUGUUAUGAAAUAGCACAACCAUGCAUAAAUGACCCUGCCAUCCUACCCCUAGAACUUUAUUUACCAUGAAAUGCCUCCACGUACUUUCAUUUGCAUGUCUUGAGAACUGAACCGUAGACCCCUCUUCCCUGUCAGUGUUGACCAUCGAUAUUUCCUCCCACAUGUGGCUUCUGUUUCUGUCUCUGGGCAGAUUUAUUCUAACCUGCCCUCAAAUCUGUAAGAAGAUUGUUCAUUCCCUAGGGCUAGUCCAAGUCUCCUGGCCUGGUGCUUACUUCAAAUUCACCUAAAUCUGGCAUAAAAGCUUUCAGGACAAGGUGGAUCAAACUGCGCCCUUGUGUGAGUACUCCCUGGACAGAAUGUCUGGUUAUCUUCGGUGUAAGUUAUUUCCCAUGACUCACAAAUAGAAAUCAGGAGAGGAGGGAGGUAGGAGGUGCAAGCCUCUGCAGCUGUCUGGAGAGUCAGCAAAAGGGAGACAGAAUCUUUAGUUACUUCACAUGUGUGACAAUACGCCUAUGUUUUGUUUUAUGUUGUUUAUUUCUUAUGUAACAUUGUUGAGUUAUCAAAUGAAGUGGUGUAUAAAAAUGUCAAAUAAACAGGUUCUCUCCCUUU
rnacentral:lncRNA from 1 species